GCUCCAGUGGCGCAAUUGGUUAGCGCACGGUACUUAUACGACAGUGUCCGAGCUAUGCCGGGGUUGUGAGUUCGAGCCUCACCUGGAGCA
rfam:Papilio xuthus contig14412, whole genome shotgun sequence.